rnacentral:rRNA from 1 species
UACGUAGGGUGCAAGCGUUAAUCGGAAUUACUGGGCGUAAAGCGUGCGCAGGCGGUUUUGUAAGUCUGUCGUGAAAUCCCCGGGCUCAACCUGGGAAUUGCGAUGGAGACUGCAAGGCUAGAAUCUGGCAGAGGGGGGUAGAAUUCCACGUGUAGCAGUGAAAUGCGUGAGAGAUGUGGAGGAACACCGAUGGCGAAGGCAGCCCCCUGGGUCAAGAUUGACGCUCAUGCACGAAAGGCGUGGGGAGCAAACGAGGAUACGAAACCCGUGUAAGACC